UUUUUUUAUUGUUGACGUUUAACGAGAAAAUCUAACAGAGAAAUAAAACAUAGAUUCAACGGUCAACCAACUUGAGUUGCCUACCGUAACAUCACUCUUUCUCACACUCGAUGACAAAUACUACCGGGAAACAUAGUGGUGAAAGGGCAUCAAAGCCGCGCCAUCACGCCAUACUUGUAGAAGGUCAGUGUGCGGGUGGAUUUACUCUCUUCUUGUACGGGUCAGUGCUUGUGGGAGGAGGAUUGGCGUUCGUGGUCGGCGACGAGUUCCCAAGACAAUUCUUUGAACCAGUAGACGAAGUAAUAACACAACCGGACGCCCCAUUGAAGGUGCCCUGGAGUCGCCCGGACCAGAUGGACUGCGAUACCAGCAACCAGAACAUGGCGGAAAAGCAAACGAGAGUGACACGACCUCCUCUUCUUCUAGUAUCAGCGUACGUCAUGUUCCUCGAUCCAGCGCCGGGUUUCUGCUGCUUGCCCAAGUACUCCUACUUAAUUUGCUUCUGUAACAUUGGAAAGGCAACCUGGAGACGAGGUGAAUGGAUAUAUUAGGACAUUGCCUACACAAGCAGUGACAUGGGAGAAGGCGAUGUAGAAGGAGGAGGAGGAGGAGGAGAAAGUGACGCUGGCUUACCGUCCCAAAGAGCCACUCUGUGACGAA
rnacentral:lncRNA from 1 species